rnacentral:rRNA from 1 species
CGUAGGGUGCAAGCGUUAAUCGGAAUUACUGGGCGUAAGCGUGCGCGGGCGGUUUGUAAGACUGUCGUGAAAUCCCCGGGCUCAACCUGGGAAUGGCGAUGGUGACUGCAAGGCUAGAGUUUGGCAGAGGGGGGUAGAAUUCCACGUGUAGCAGUGAAAUGCGUAGAUAUGUGGAGGAACACCGAUGGCGAAGGCAGCCCCCUGGGUCAAAACUGACGCUCAUGCACGAAAGCGUGGGGGAGCAAACAGGAUUAGAUACCCUGGUAGUCCACGCCCUAAACGAUGUCUACUAGUUGUCGGGUCUUAAUUGACUUGGUAACGCAGCUAACGCGUGAAGUAGACCGCCUGGGGGAGUACGGUCGCAAGAUUA